GCCGGGGUGGCCGAGCCAGGUCCAAGGCGCAGGUCCGCGAUUCCGCGGUGCGAAACUUGAGAUCCUGUCCCCGCAAGGGGGCCCGGGUUCAAAUCCCGGCCCCGGCA
rnacentral:tRNA from 1 species